rnacentral:misc_RNA from 1 species
GAAAUUCGAUAAGUAAUGUGAAUUGCAGAAUUCAGUGAAUCAUCGAAUCUUUGAACGCACCUUGCGCUCCUUGGUAUUCCUUGGAGCAUGCCUGUUUGAGUAUCAUGAAAUCUUCAAAGUAAAUCUUUUGUUAACUCAAUUGGUUUCUACUUUGGUAUUGGAGGUCUUUGCAGCUUCACACCUGCUCCUCUUUGUUCAUUAGCUGGAUCUCAGUGUUAUGCUUGGUUCCACUCGGCGUGAUAAGUUAUCUAUCGCUGAGGACACUGUAAAAGGUGGCCAAGGUAAAUGCAGAUGAACCACUUCUAAUAGUCCAUUGACUUGGACAAUACUUUUAUGAUCUGAUCUCAAAUCAGGUAGGACUACCCGCUGAACUUAAGC